CGGAUUCUGGGUCCCCCGCUCUCUCUGCCCCUGCCCUGCUCAUGCUGUGUCUCUGAAAAAUAAAUAAACGGUAAAAGAAUGUUUUUAAAGUAUUAAUUCAGAGAAUGUGAGCCUUGGAGAUACAGCCCAGUUUCUAUAAUCUCGUAUUGGCCUUUCACCAUUAAAUAAAAAAAAUCAACCCGUCGGGUAAAGAAAAAAAGAAUGGCAUGUUUUGGGCCUCCGUUAGAGUUUGGUGGGCCUGAUAUUGGAAGGAAUCCACCGAUGAUGGACUGGAAGGCUGGUGGGGGGGCAGGGUUCAGUACCAGGAAGUGGGGUGGAGGUAGGCGUGUCCGAUGUUUGCUCAUGCGGAUGGGCUCUGGCAUCUGUGAGCACACAGCAGUGCAAGGGAGCCCACAGACAGAAGCCUGGAGCCCCCGGCGGCCUCAUCAUCUCUGGAGCGAAACCUUCCUCCUCCAUCAGGGAGUGAGGAAGGACAGCCUCCCUCCCCACCAGGUAGAGAGGACGAUGGAGAAGAGGGCGCCUCCGAGUGUACAGGGUGAGUGAGCUUCGUGGAGCACAACCCGCCAGCCAGUGGGUGGGUUCUCAGCCCCAGCCUCCGCCCUGGCCCUGCAGCUCUUGGGACGCAGCUCUCAGGGGGGCCAGCUGGGGACACGGCUGCACAGGAAUGAUGCCACAGCUCACGGUGACCCGGGAAGUCAGGGCUGAUCCCAGCCUCACGUUUGUUCCCAGGAACGCUGGAACUAAUACAUUUAAUGAGAGAGUCGUUUUGGUGCCUUUUUUUAAAGAAAUACAAUACUGAUCGCAGUAUUCACAGGUGCUUCAAAAAUGGUCUGUUGAGUGGUGAUACCACUUGUAUGCGUGUUAAAAUUGUCCUGUUCCCCAGAUCUGAAGAAUCACCUGGCCGGAGCAUGCCAUAGCUUCUAAACACGAAACCGUGUUGGGUGUAGUUAUUCCCGAAUGACUCUAUUUCUUCAAACAAAAUGUUAGAAUCAAAACUUGGGAGAUGUUCCCACUUCUCUUCAAGGAUGUGGAGCGUCCCCUUCCGGGAGCGCGUCGGGGCCUCUCACAGCAUUGCACCUGCUGCUAUGUUCCUGCUUAUCACCCCGGCUGGCUGCCAGACUCAUUGGAAGGGAAGGUUGGACGCGUGUACUCAAGACAGCCGCAAAAAACUUAGGAACUUGUGGAUUUGCCCGAACUUCCAAUUUACCUGCCCGUAUGCGCAAAAUAAACAUGCAGAUUUUA